AUUGCUUCUUGGCCUUUUGACUACGAUCAAGUGUGGUAUCUGUUCUUAUCAGUUUAAUUUCUGAUAUGCCCUCUGUCUGGGGACCGUAUAUAAAAUUUCUUUUUUUUUUUUUGAGCACUGGGGCCGCUUUGGAAACUUACUUCUGGGGCCUUAGGCAUUGACCUGUGUUGGCAAUAUCUUCAGGUACAGUGCGCAAAUU